rnacentral:rRNA from 1 species
UGGGGAAUAUUGCACAAUGGGCACAAGCCUGAUGCAGCCAUGCCGCGUGUAUGAAGAAGGCCUUCGGGUUGUAAAGUACUUUCAGCGGGGAGGAAGGGAGUAAAGUUAAUACCUUUGCUCAUUGACGUUACCCGCAGAAGAAGCACCGGCUAACUCCGUGCCAGCAGCCGCGGUAAUACGGAGGGUGCAAGCGUUAAUCGGAAUUACUGGGCGUAAAGCGCACGCAGGCGGUUUGUUAAGUCAGAUGUGAAAUCCCCGGGCUCAACCUGGGAACUGCAUCUGAUACUGGCAAGCUUGAGUCUCGUAGAGGGGGGUAGAAUUCCAGGUGUAGCGGUGAAAUGCGUAGAGAUCUGGAGGAAUACCGGUGGCGAAGGCGGCCCCCUGGACGAAGACUGACGCUCAGGUGCGAAAGCGUGGGGAGCAAACA